GAGUAAACCAGAGAUGAAAAAGAUGACUGCUAGAAUCACUAUAACUAGAAGAAGGAUUGGGCUGAUACUGCUGAAAGAAGAAGAUGAUGAUGGCGAUGGUGUAGAAUCAUUUGAUUUUGGAUCAGUGCCACCAUCAAAAGGUAAUGGAUGAACCUUUCUGCUUUUUGAGUGGAAAAAGCUGAAAGAGAUUAGAGAAAGAGAGAAAAGAAAGAAUAUGUUAAGUUGAAGGAGGUGGUUGCAUGGUACCUACCUACCAUUUGAUGCAGAAAAUGAAGGAAGCCAUUAAAAAACUGAGAGAGUCUUUGGCUGGUGAAGAUGGGAUCUUCAGAUUUCCAUUGUUUAUUCUCCACAGAAGUAGAGGAAGAGGGUUAGGAUUUGAUUGGGUUUUUUUAGUGUGAAAGACAAGGUGGGUGAGGCUGAGAUUGGCCAUCAAGGUGGCAGUUGAGCCCUACAGUGAUUGUAACAACCAAAGCUCCAACGCGGCAUGAAGAGACUUGAGAAUUCCAUACAUUUUAACAAAACAACUUCCAAUUUGAAGGCCCAUUUUCUACCAAACUAUCACAAGGUACAACUUUCUUUUCACCUGCUCUCAACAAAUACCUGAUAUUUCAGUCAUUUUCUUUUUCUUGUUUCCUUGUAUAUGUCAAAGAUUUUGGUUAAGAGUUUAGAGAAAAGAAUGGUAGAAAAAGGUGAAGAUGUGUAAAGAAUAUGGAAUGAGUGAGUUUAGAGGUCCACCAUUAAAAUAGAAACUUGAUUACCCACAGGAGCCUGUGUUCUCUUUAUUUAUCAGAAACAAAAAAAAAAA